AUGCCAUGAUGAGGACACUUUUGGAAUAGCUCAUUGAACUACUUUCAUGUCUCAUAUAAAGAUUCUUCAUCAAGUUGCUAAAAUGAAGUGAUUUCGUUUCGAAGCUU
rfam:Gossypium raimondii Chr08_contig_488, whole genome shotgun sequence.